rnacentral:lncRNA from 1 species
AGAAAACUAUGGAUUAGAAUUUCAGGUAACUAUGAUACUAAUUUCACAUUUAACUUUAUCAGCUAAACAACUAAUGUUUGUUUCUUGUCACAACUUAGGUGUUAUAAAAGACAAGUUUUAAGCUCUGGAAAAUGUCAUUUCUUUAAGCAUGGAUAAAAAGAAACACUGGAAAAUAGAAGUAAAAUAUUUCAUCAUUUUUGAGGUUUUGCACUUUUACUCUCUGCUUCUUGGACCCUACUUAUUAUUGGCUCAUCUUUCUCUUUGAACCAUGUUUAUCUGCUUUGUUACUAACCUCCACUAACAUAAAAAGGCGAAGGUUGCAAAGCACCUGCCUUCACAAUGGCGUCUUGAAAAAACAUGGCAUUGUAGUCAUCGUCAAUUUGGCCAUCUAAU